GCGGCUGUACCUCAAUGGUAGCGCGCCACCGUCCCAAGGUGGACGUUGUGGGUUCGAAUCCCAUCGGCCGCU
rfam:Planctomycetes bacterium RBG_13_60_9 RBG_13_scaffold_5552, whole genome shotgun sequence.